UGAGGACAAAUGCAGUAGGUGUGUGU
rnacentral:piRNA from 1 species